GCGGGGUGGAGCAGCCCGGUAGCUCGUCAGGCUCAUAACCUGAAGGCCGCAGGUUCAAAUCCUGCCCCCGCAACCA
rnacentral:tRNA from 18 species